rnacentral:rRNA from 1 species
ACCGAACCGACUUACGUUGAAAAGUGAGCGGAUGAACUGAGGGUAGCGGAGAAAUUCCAAUCGAACCUGGAGAUAGCUGGUUCUCUCCGAAAUAGCUUUAGGGCUAGCCUCAAGUGAUGAUUAUUGGAGGUAGAGCACUGUUUGGACGAGGGGCCCCUCUCGGGUUACCGAAUUCAGACAAACUCCGAAUGCCAAUUAAUUUAACUUGGGAGUCAGAACAUGGGUGAUAAGGUCCGUGUUCGAAAGGGAAACAGCCCAGACCACCAGCUAAGGUCCCAAAAUAUAUGUUAAGUGGAAAAGGAUGUGGCGUUGCCCAGACAACUAGGAUGUUGGCUUAGAAGCAGCCAUCAUUUAAAGAGUGCGUAAUAGCUCACUAGUCGAGUGACACUGCGCCGAAAAUGUACCGGGGCUAAACAUAUUACCGAAGCUGUGGAUUGUCCUUUGGACAAUGGUAGGAGAGCGUUCUAAGGGCGUUGAAGCAUGAUCGUAAGGACAUGUGGAGCGCUUAGAAGUGAGAAUGCCGGUGUGAGUAGCGAAAGACGGGUGAGAAUCCCGUCCACCGAUUGACUAAGGUUUCCAGAGGAAGGCUCGUCCGCUCUGGGUUAGUCGGGUCCUAAGCUGAGGCCGACAGGCGUAGGCGAUGGAUAACAGGUUGAUAUUCCUGUACCACCUAUAAUCGUUUUAAUCGAUGGGGGGACGCAGUAGGAUAGGCGAAGCGUGCGAUUGGAUUGCACGUCUAAGCAGUAAGGCUGAGUAUUAGGCAAAUCCGGUACUCAUUAAGGCUGAGCUGUGAUGGGGAGAAGACAUUGUGUCUUCGAGUCGUUGAUUUCACACUGCCGAGAAAAGCCUCUAGAUAGAAAAUAGGUGCCCGUACCGCAAACCGACACAGGUAGUCAAGAUGAGAAUUCUAAGGUGAGCGAGCGAACUCUCGUUAAGGAACUCGGCAAAAUGACCCCGUAACUUCGGGAGAAGGGGUGCUCUUUAGGGUUAACGCCCAGAAGAGCCGCAGUGAAUAGGCCCAAGCGACUGUUUAUCAAAAACACAGGUCUCUGCUAAACCGUAAGGUGAUGUAUAGGGGCUGACGCCUGCCCGGUGCUGGAAGGUUAAGAGGAGUGGUUAGCUUCUGCGAAGCUACGAAUCGAAGCCCCAGUAAACGGCGGCCGUAACUAUAACGGUCCUAAGGUAGCGAAAUUCCUUGUCGGGUAAGUUCCGACCCGCACGAAAGGCGUAACGAUUUGGGCACUGUCUCAACGAGAGACUCGGUGAAAUCAUAGUACCUGUGAAGAUGCAGGUUACCCGCGACAGGACGGAAAGACCCCGUGGAGCUUUACUGUAGCCUGAUAUUGAAAUUCGGCACAGCUUGUACAGGAUAGGUAGGAGCCUUUGAAACGUGAGCGCUAGCUUACGUGGAGGCGCUGGUGGGAUACUACCCUAGCUGUGUUGGCUUUCUAACCCGCACCACUUAUCGUGGUGGGAGACAGUGUCAGGCGGGCAGUUUGACUGGGGCGGUCGCCUCCUAAAAGGUAACGGAGGCGCUCAAAGGUUCCCUCAGAAUGGUUGGAAAUCAUUCAUAGAGUGUAAAGGCAUAAGGGAGCUUGACUGCGAGACCUACAAGUCGAGCAGGGUCGAAAGACGGACUUAGUGAUCCGGUGGUUCCGCAUGGAAGGGCCAUCGCUCAACGGAUAAAAGCUACCCCGGGGAUAACAGGCUUAUCUCCCCCAAGAGUUCACAUCGACGGGGAGGUUUGGCACCUCGAUGUCGGCUCAUCGCAUCCUGGGGCUGUAGUCGGUCCCAAGGGUUGGGCUGUUCGCCCAUUAAAGCGGUACGCGAGCUGGGUUCAGAACGUCGUGAGACAGUUCGGUCCCUAUCCGUCGUGGGCGUAGGAAAUUUGAGAGGAGCUGUCCUUAGUACGAGAGGACCGGGAUGGACAUACCUCUGGUGUACCAGUUGUCGUGCCAACGGCAUAGCUGGGUAGCUAUGUGUGGACGGGAUAAGUGCUGAAAGCAUCUAAGCAUGAAGCCCCCCUCAAGAUGAGAUUUCCCAACUUCGGUUAUAAGAUCCCUCAAAGAUGAUGAGGUUAAUAGGUUCGAGGUGGAAGCAUGGUGACAUGUGGAGCUGACGAAUACUAAUCGAUCGAAGACUUAAUCAA